rnacentral:rRNA from 1 species
AGUAACGCAUCGGAACGUACCGAGUAGUGGGGGAUAACUGUCCGAAAGGAUGGCUAAUACCGCAUACGCUUUGAGAAGGAAAGCGGGGGAUCUUCGGACCUCGCGCUAUUCGAGCGGCCGAUGUCUGAUUAGCUGGUUGGUGGGGUAAAGGCCUACCAAGGCGACGAUCAGUAGCGGGUCUGAGAGGAUGAUCCGCCACACUGGGACUGAGACACGGCCCAGACUCCUACGGGAGGCAGCAGUGGGGAAUUUUGGACAAUGGGCGCAAGCCUGAUCCAGCCAUGCCGCGUGUCUGAAGAAGGCCUUCGGGUUGUAAAGGACUUUUGUCAGGGAAGAAAAGCUUGAGGCUAAUACCCUUAAGUGAUGACGGUACCUGAAGAAUAAGCACCGGCUAACUACGUGCCAGCAGCCGCGGUAAUACGUAGGGUGCGAGCGUUAAUCGGAAUUACUGGGCGUAAAGCGGGCGCAGACGGUUACUUAAGUCAGAUGUGAAAUCCCCGGGCUCAACCUGGGAACUGCGUUUGAAACUGGGUAGCUAGAGUAUGUCAGAAGGGGGUAGAAUUCCACGUGUAGCAGUGAAAUG